rnacentral:rRNA from 1 species
CCUACGGGAGGCAGCAGUGAGGGAUAUUGGUCAAUGGGGGAAACCCUGAACCAGCAACGCCGCGUGAGGGAAGACGGUUUUCGGAUUGUAAACUUCUGUCCUCUGUGAAGAUAAUGACGGUAGCUGAGGAGGAAGCUCCGGCUAACUACGUGCCAGCAGCCGCGGUAAUACGUAGGGGGCAAGCGUUGUCCGGAUUUACUGGGUGUAAAGGGUGCGGAGGCGGCCCUGCAAGUCAGAAGUGAAAUCCCUGGGCGUAACUCGGGGACUGCUUUUGAAACUGUGUGGCUAGAUUGAAGUAGAGGCAGGUGGAAUUCCCGGUGUAGCGGUGAAAUGCGUAGAGAUCGGGAGGAACACCAGUGGCGAAGGCGGCCUGCUGGGCUUUAACUGACGCUGAAGCUCGAAAGCGUGGGUAGCAAACAGGAUUAGAUACCCCAGUAGUC